rnacentral:rRNA from 1 species
ACUAAGCGUACACGGUGGAUGCCCUGGCAGUCAGAGGCGAUGAAGGACGUGCUAAUCUGCGAAAAGCGUCGGUAAGGUGAUAUGAACCGUUAUAACCGGCGAUGUCCGAAUGGGGAAACCCAGUGCAAUUCGUUGCACUAUCGUUAACUGAAUACAUAGGUUAACGAGGCGAACCGGGGGAACUGAAACAUCUAAGUACCCCGAGGAAAAGAAAUCAACCGAGAUUCCCCCAGUAGCGGCGAGCGAACGGGGAGCAGCCCAGAGUCUGAAUCAGCUUGUGUGUUAGUGGAACGGUCUGGAAAGUCCGACGGUACAGGGUGAUAGUCCCGUACACCAAAAUGCACAGGCUGUGAACUCGAAGAGUAGGGCGGGACACGUGGUAUCCUGUCUGAAUAUGGGGGGACCAUCCUCCAAGGCUAAAUACUCCUGACUGACCGAUAGUGAACCAGUACCGUGAGGGAAAGGCGAAAAGAACCCCGGCGAGGGGAGUGAAAAAGAACCUGAAACCGUGUACGUACAAGCAGUGGGAGCACCUUCGGGUGUGACUGCGUACCUUUUGUAUAAUGGGUCAGCGACUUAUAUUCUGUAGCAAGGUUAACCGUAUAGGGGAGCCGCAGGGAAACCGAGUCUUAACUGGGCGUUAAGUUGCAGGGUAUAGACCCGAAACCCGGUGAUCUAGCCAUGGGCAGGUUGAAGGUUGGGUAACACUAACUGGAGGACCGAACCGACUAAUGUUGAAAAAUUAGCGGAUGACUUGUGGCUGGGGGUGAAAGGCCAAUCAAACCGGGAGAUAGCUGGUUCUCCCCGAAAGCUAUUUAGGUAGCGCCUCGUGAAUUCAUCUUCGGGGGUAGAGCACUGUUUCGGCUAGGGGGUCAUCCCGACUUACCAACCCGAUGCAAACUACGAAUACCGAAGAAUGUUAUCACGGGAGACACACGGCGGGUGCUAACGUCCGUCGUGAAGAGGGAAACAACCCAGACCGCCAGCUAAGGUCCCAAAGUCAUGGUUAAGUGGGAAACGAUGUGGGAAGGCACAGACAGCCAGGAUGUUGGCUUAGAAGCAGCCAUCAUUUAAAGAAAGCGUAAUAGCUCACUGGUCGAGUCGGCCUGCGCGGAAGAUGUAACGGGGCUAAACCAUGCACCGAAGCUGCGGCAGCGACACUAUGUGUUGUUGGGUAGGGGAGCGUUCUGUAAGCCUGCGAAGGUGACCUGUGAGGGUUGCUGGAGGUAUCAGAAGUGCGAAUGCUGACAUAAGUAACGAUAAAGCGGGUGAAAAGCCCGCUCGCCGGAAGACCAAGGGUUCCUGUCCAACGUUAAUCGGGGCAGGGUGAGUCGACCCCUAAGGCGAGGCCGAAAGGCGUAGUCGAUGGGAAACAGGUUAAUAUUCCUGUACUUGGUGUUACUGCGAAGGGGGGACGGAGAAGGCUAUGUUAGCCGGGCGACGGUUGUCCCGGUUUAAGCAUGUAGGCUGGUUGUCCAGGCAAAUCCGGAUAAUCAAGGCUGAGGUGUGAUGACGAGGCACUACGGUGCUGAAGUAACAAAUGCCCUGCUUCCAGGAAAAGCCUCUAAGCAUCAGGUAACAUCAAAUCGUACCCCAAACCGACACAGGUGGUCAGGUAGAGAAUACCAAGGCGCUUGAGAGAACUCGGGUGAAGGAACUAGGCAAAAUGGUGCCGUAACUUCGGGAGAAGGCACGCUGGUGUGUAGGUGAAGUCCCUGCGGAUGGAGCUGAGACCAGUCGAAGAUACCAGCUGGCUGCAACUGUUUAUUAAAAACACAGCACUGUGCAAACACGAAAGUGGACGUAUACGGUGUGACGCCUGCCCGGUGCCGGAAGGUUAAUUGAUGGGGUUAUCCGUAAGGAGAAGCUCUUGAUCGAAGCCCCGGUAAACGGCGGCCGUAACUAUAACGGUCCUAAGGUAGCGAAAUUCCUUGUCGGGUAAGUUCCGACCUGCACGAAUGGCGUAAUGAUGGCCAGGCUGUCUCCACCCGAGACUCAGUGAAAUUGAACUCGCUGUGAAGAUGCAGUGUACCCGCGGCAAGACGGAAAGACCCCGUGAACCUUUACUAUAGCUUGACACUGAACAUUGAGCCUUGAUGUGUAGGAUAGGUGGGAGGCUUUGAAGCGUGGACGCCAGUCUGCGUGGAGCCAACCUUGAAAUACCACCCUUUAAUGUUUGAUGUUCUAACGUUGGCCCCUGACCGGGGUUGCGGACAGUGUCUGGUGGGUAGUUUGACUGGGGCGGUCUCCUCCCAAAGCGUAACGGAGGAGCACGAAGGUUAGCUAAUCCUGGUCGGACAUCAGGAGGUUAGUGCAAUGGCAUAAGCUAGCUUGACUGCGAGCGUGACGGCGCGAGCAGGUGCGAAAGCAGGUCAUAGUGAUCCGGUGGUUCUGAAUGGAAGGGCCAUCGCUCAACGGAUAAAAGGUACUCCGGGGAUAACAGGCUGAUACCGCCCAAGAGUUCAUAUCGACGGCGGUGUUUGGCACCUCGAUGUCGGCUCAUCACAUCCUGGGGCUGAAGUAGGUCCCAAGGGUAUGGCUGUUCGCCAUUUAAAGUGGUACGCGAGCUGGGUUUAGAACGUCGUGAGACAGUUCGGUCCCUAUCUGCCGUGGGCGCUGGAGAAUUGAGGGGGGCUGCUCCUAGUACGAGAGGACCGGAGUGGACGCAUCACUGGUGUUCGGGUUGUCAUGCCAAUGGCACUGCCCGGUAGCUAAAUGCGGAAGAGAUAAGUGCUGAAAGCAUCUAAGCACGAAACUUGCCCCGAGAUGAGUUCUCCCUGAGACUUUAAGUCUCCUGAAGGAACGUUGAAGACGACGACGUUGAUAGGCCGGGUGUGUAAGCGCAGCGAUGCGUUGAGCUAACCGGUACUAA